GGUAUGUAUAUUUGGUAAGUAACUAAAUCACAAAAUUGGUCCCUACGGCAUGUGAUAAUAAAGUUCUUAUUCAGGCCAUGUGUUGGAAUUAUUUGAGAAUCCCCCACUUGACGUAGUCGUUGACGACUCCGUUCAGUCUCUCCGCGUACAGGUCGCUGGUCUUCUCCACGUUGAACUUGGAGAUGUCGAGGGACUCGUCCACCUGGGGGGCGU